rnacentral:rRNA from 1 species
GAACGCCGUAGCAAUACGGAGUGGCAGACGGGUGAGUAACGCGUGGGAACAUACCCUUCGGUUCGGAAUAACUCAGGGAAACUUGAGCUAAUACCGGAUACGUCCGAGGUUUUAAUCGACCUUGGAGAAAGAUUUAUCGCCGGAGGAUUGGCCCGCGUCUGAUUAGCUUGUUGGUGAGGUAAUGGCCCACCAAGGCGACGAUCAGUAGCUGGUCUGAGAGGAUGAUCAGCCACAUUGGGACUGAGACACGGCCCAAACUCCUACGGGAGGCAGCAGUGGGGAAUAUUGGACAAUGGGCGAAAGCCUGAUCCAGCCAUGCCGCGUGAGUGAUGAAGGCCUUAGGGUUGUAAAGCUCUUUUACCCGGGAAGAUAAUGACGGUACCGGGAGAAUAAGCCCCGGCUAACUUCGUGCCAGCAGCCGCGGUAAUACGAAGGGGGCUAGCGUUGUUCGGAAUUACUGGGCGUAAAGCGCACGUAGGCGGAUCUUUAAGUCAGGGGUGAAAUCCCGAGGCUCAACCUCGGAACUGCCUUUGAUACUGGGGAUAUCGAGUCCGGGAGAGGUGAGUGGAACUGCGAGUGUAGAGGCGAAAUUCGUAGAUAUUCGCAAGAACACCAGUGGCGAAGGCGGCUCACUGGCCCGGUACUGACGCUGAGGUGCGAAAGCGUGGGGA